UACAAGAUUAAGGAGUGAAUGUCAGCUGA
rnacentral:piRNA from 1 species